AGUAAUAAGUUUUAGGUUAAUGUAUUUAUUUUAAAAUUUUCACAAUUUACUUUUUUAAAUAAUAUUCAUUUCAAAUUUCAAAAAAGAUUCGGCAUCACUAGCCGUUCUAUAAUGGCCUUUAAGUGCAGUCUUGCAAAAUGCUUCAAGAUGCCGGGUUUCUAUAUUUCCAGACACAGCAGAGCUUCAAAACUAUAGCAGUAAGGUAAUACAAGAUAUAAUUUGAUGAACCGAAGAUGGACUGAGUCCCCUGGUAUUAGACAGGCUAAAGCGCACAUAGGUGGGCCCUCUGCCUGUCUCACCAAAAAUCUACUACGCCUAAAAAGACGCGAAAUUCGGGUAGUGACAGGUCUUCUAACCGGUCACUGGCACUUAAGAAGCCAUCUCCAUACUAUCGGUAUUGCGGACAACCCGGAAUGCCGAUGGUGCUGUGAGGAGGAUGAAACCGUUGACCAUGCAGUCGGGGAGUGCCCAGCACUCACGCGCGCCAGGUUGAAAUACUUGGGUAACACUUUCAGUAUACCGAGCGACUUUAAGUCCUUCAGACCAGAGAGCCUUAUAGGUUUCUCUAAGGCCGUUGGGCUCUGGUAACCCCCGGUGGGGCAUGACGGGUCCAUCAGGAGACCUAUAUGCACAACUGCCUUGGCAGCCCACUGUUUCGUCAAUUCCAAUGCCAACAUUGGCGGAAUAACUCUACAUUCUGCUCUGUCCUUACCAGUUAAUCAAUACGAUGAUGACUUGAUUCCUUUAAGCCAUGAAACAGUCAAAACAAUCUAUUUUGCCUUAUGUGGACUUAAACUAAUGAUAAUUGACGAGUAUUCCAUGGUUGGUGCCAAAAUGUUUGGACAUGUAAACAGCAGAUUGUAGCAAAUCUUCAAAUCUGAUGAAGCAUUUGGAAACAUUCCCAUUGUCAUGUGUGGCGACAGUCGUCAACUACCACCAGUAGGAGAUUCCUUUUUAUUUUUGCCAUCAAAGAAGAAUCCCUACAAGGAAAUCUGUGGCACUUAUUUAUGGGACCUUUUUAAGUACUUUGAAUUAACCGAGAUUUUGAGACAAAGUAACGAUAAAUCAUUUGCCAUCGCCUUAAAUAAUAUGGCCUGUGUUGCGAUGACCGACGACGAUGUGAAGUUAAUUAAGUUGAGAGAGGUUCCUACUGACUUCCAAAUACCAGAAGACACCAUCCAUUUAUUCAGUUACAAUAGUGAUGUGGAUGCAUACAAUAACGAAAAAUUGUCUACGUAUAACACAGAUCGGUCGGUGAGUGAAGCCAAAGAUGUAGUUAAAGGUAGUUGCUCUGAAAAACUAAAAACAUUAUUUUUGGAGCAUGCGAAAGAUUUUAAAAAAUCUGAGAGUUUUGGCUUGAUGUUGACUUUAAUUCUACAAGUGGAUGCAAAAUAAUCUCUCUCAACAUAGAUACCAAGGAUGGUUUAGUCAAUGGUGCAACAGGUGCCCUUCGAAAAAUUGAAUAUGACCACAAUCAGAUUCCAAAUAGGGUAUGGAUAGAAUUUUUCGAUAAAAAAACUGGCAUAGAUUGUCGAAACAAACAUAAAGCUCAUAUGGAAGCCAAGAACAUACCGACCACUUGGACACCAAUACUAAAAACUGCAAGAGCGAUCAAAAUCCAAAAAGGGAGUAACGUCCACGUCGAAAGGCUACAGACUCAUCAGUGAGGGAUCACCAUCCAUAAGAGUCAAGGUGCUACCUAUGAACAAGUGGCUGUUCAUAUAAGUAAACGAAUGUCCAGAAGCAGUGUGUAUGUUGCCUGCAGCCGAGUUACCAAACUUAGUAGAUUGUACAUCAUUGGACAAUUCAAGGAUAAUUGGAAUAAUUUGUUACAAGAAAAAAUAUUUAACUGCAAAAAUAAGUUCUAUAACUAAGUACACUAAAAAUUUCUCAGGAAUAGUUUUUCAAGCUGUAACAUUUCUUUUAAAUGAUAUUUUUGUUAUGGUAGUAUACAAUCCUCCAGUUUUACAAUUUUACAAGCCCAACGUGGUUUAAGUGACAUUAUUUUUGGUCAGCAAGGACGUAUAUUAAUUAUUGGUGAUUUUAAUCAAGACAUAAUAAAUGAGACCCAAAAUGGCCUUAAAA
rnacentral:lncRNA from 1 species